rnacentral:rRNA from 1 species
CCGCGGUAAUACAGAGGGUGCAAGCGUUGCUCGGAUUUACUGGGCGUAAAGCGUACGCAGACGGUGAGAAAGGUCGAAUGUGAAAGCCCGGGGCUCAACCCCGGGAGGCCAGGGGAUACUGCGAGGCUUGAGUCAAGUAGAGGUUGGUAGAAUUCCGGGUGUAGCGGUGGAAUGCGUAGAGAUCCGGAGGAAUACCAGAGGCGAAGGCGGCCAACUGGACUUGUACUGACGCUGAGGUGCGAAAGCGUGGGGAGCGAACAGG